rnacentral:tRNA from 1 species
AGUAAAAUAGCUGAGCAAGUAUUAGACUGUAAAUCUAAAGACAGAGAUUUAGUCUUCUUUUUGCCA